CACGUGGCCUGGUGGUCACGUGACCUCGACCUUUAGGGGGGAAAAUUUUCCGCUAAAUCUAGCGGGGAAAAUUUUCCGCUAAAUUUGGCGGGGAAAAGUUUCCGCUAAAUUUAGCGGGGAAAAUUUUCCGCUAGAUUUAGCGGGGAAAAUUUUCCGCUAGAUUAAGCGGGGAAAAUUUCCCGCUAGAUUUAGCGGGAAAAUUUUU
rnacentral:SRP_RNA from 1 species